CUGUUAUCAUUUCCAAUUGAGAGAAGGACUUAAACGUUGAUUUUUUGGGCUGAUCUGGGUGGUCCAAUGAAGAUCUAAUGGUCAGAAAAUUAAAUACAAGUAUAAUAUGGUUUCUAAAGUUUUUAGGACUCCUUUUGCUAUCUGAAAAAGGUAAAAAGUUGAUCUAUAAAUAAGAGGUCCGGGAAUAAGAGAAAGGAGUAGAGAAAAUCAAUGGAAAAAUAAAAAAAAGUUAAAGAAGUUUAGGAAUCCAAGGAGAAGAAGAAGACAAGUUAAUUCGCUUUAUAGAGUACGAAGGAAGGAGAGAUCGUCAACCAUCUUUUUGAUGAG
rnacentral:lncRNA from 1 species